AUGGAGAUUCUGCCUUUCUGGCUGUACUUACAGAAAGCGUUUUUUUCAAAUGCAAUAAGACCUCUCUCUGCUGAACAGCAGGUUUUAGAAGGAGGAAAGGUGAUCCUUUCAUGUGCCUACAAUGGAAGUAAUAUAAAGAGUUUACAGUGGUACAAACAGCAUCACAGCCCUGCACCCGAAUAUCUCCUGCAAACUUUUGAAAAUGCGGCACCAGAGCAGAAGGACCGUCUACUUGCUAAAGCACAAAAAGACAAAAAACAACUGGAUCUGGAGAUCUCCAAAGCUGAAAUGUCAGACUCUGCUGUGUAUUACUGUGCACUGGUGCCCACAGUGACAGGAAACACUUCGGCACUGUACAAAAACCUGACACUCAGUAUUGUGAUCAUUUGA